GAUGAACGCUGGCGGUAUGCCUAACACAUGCAAGUCGAACGGAGUUCUUCGGAACUUAGUGGCGGACGGGUGAGUAACACGUGAGAACCUACCUUCAGAAUGGGGACAACAGUUGGAAACGACUGCUAAUACCCAAUGUGCCGAAAGGUGAAAGAUUUAUCGUCUGAAGAUGGGCUCGCGUCUGAUUAGCUAGAUGGUGGGGUAAGAGCCUACCAUGGCAACGAUCAGUAGCUGGCCUGAGAGGAUGAGCAGCCACACUGGGACUGAGACACGGCCCAGACUCCUACGGGAGGCAGCAGUGGGGAAUUUUCCGCAAUGGGCGAAAGCCUGACGGAGCAAUACCGCGUGAGGGAGGAAGGUCCUUGGAUUGUAAACCUCUUUUAUCAGGGAAGAAGUUCUGACGGUACCUGAUGAAUAAGCAUCGGCUAACUCCGUGCCAGCAGCCGCGGUAAUACGGAGGAUGCAAGCGUUAUCCGGAAUUAUUGGGCGUAAAGCGUCCGUAGGUGGUUAUGCAAGUCUGCCGUUAAAGAAUGGAGCUUAACUCCAUAGGAGCGGUGGAAACUGCAAGACUAGAGUACAGUAGGGGUAGCAGGAAUUCCCAGUGUAGCGGUGAAAUGCGUAGAUAUUGGGAAGAACAUCGGUGGCGAAAGCGUGCUACUGGGCUGAAACUGACACUGAGGGACGAAAGCUAGGGUAGCGAAAGGGAUUAGAUACCCCUGUAGUCCUAGCCGUAAACGAUGGAUACUAGGCGUGGCUUGUAUCGACCCGAGCCGUGCUGAAGCUAACGCGUUAAGUAUCCCGCCUGGGGAG
rnacentral:rRNA from 1 species